rnacentral:rRNA from 1 species
AAUAUUGGUCAAUGGAGGCAACUCUGAACCAGCCAUGCCGCGUGCAGGAAGCCGGUCCUAUAGUUUUUAAACUGUUGGUGUACAGGAAGGAAAAGAGCUACGAGAAGAAUAUUCACGGCACUGUAAGAAUACGGAUCGGCUAACGCCGUGCCAGCAGCCGCGGUAAUACCGAGGAUCCAAGCGUUAUCCGGAUUUAUUGGGUUUAAAGGGUGCGUAGGCGGCCCGUUAAGUCAGGGGUGAAAGACGGCAGCUCAACUGUCGCAGUGCCUUUGAUACUGACGGGCUUGAAUGCGGAUGAGGUAGGCGGAAUGAGACAAGUAGCGGUGAAAUGCAUAGAUAUGUCUCAGAACUCCGAUUGCGAAGGCAGCUUACUAAGCCGUGAUUGACGCUGAUGAACGAGAGCGUGGGGAUCAAAAA